GACAUUUGGUAGAGACUGUUGAGGCCACCUGGUCUCAGCAGACCCCAGAAAACGGCCACAUCGCUGGUGCUGGAACAAGUUCGUUAAGGGUGAAGCCUGGUGCCAGAUGUGU
rnacentral:rRNA from 1 species